rnacentral:ncRNA from 1 species
GAAAAAGCAAUGAAAAAGAGUAGUAAUAAGUAAAAAGCUAAUAGAGAGUUAGUGGUUGGUGGAAACUAAUAGUAAUAACUUAUGAAUUCGCUUUGGAGCUGGAUAACCAUAAAGUUAUCACGUAUAUCUUACGUUACAAGAAAUUAAGUGCAUAGUAAAUCUAUGAAACAAGGUGGUACCACGGAUAAGUUUAUUCGCCCUUGUC